UGGGAUUCGUACCGGGCUUCAAUAACUCUGCCGAGGGCAAUAAUAUCCUGUCACGUCUCAGAGUCGGGUGGCCUCCACGACGCACGGGCCUUGGUAUUUUCUGCACUAAUUUGCCACAUAUCGGGCACUUCGUAUGUGUUUAAUUUACACACGUUUUAAUUUAGGGGACGCUGGAUUGUUCCAAUGAUUUUGUCAUUUCCCCCUUUUUCCAAGAGGAAAAGAAAAGGAACAAAAAAAUAGCCCACGAGCUGCAGAAGCGGUCAGCAGCACUAUUUUGUAUGAUUUGGGGUAAUGACCAUGAUUAAUGCUUGUUUAUUGUUAUAUCUCUUGUGUUAUGUAAAUAAAGCUGUGGCCUUCUCCUUCCAAUUUCAGGGUGGUGCGGCUGCUUUCAUUUGGAAGCGAGCAGAGGGGGGCGGGGAGAGCCUUGCCAGCCUGCGGGUGCGCUCCGAGCCUCCGCCCGGCGGUGCCCACCCCGGAGCCACCAGCCCGAGUGGGGGGAGCCGGCACCACCCGGACCAGGCCUCCCUCCCCCAUCCUCUCCCAGGGACGCGGGCUCUGCCAAGGCUUGCAGGGGAGUGAGAGCCGCCACCCCCAAAUGAGGCCCUGCAUGAGGAAGCCAGCUGGCGGGAAGUGGGGGUCAGCAGGGGAGCCGCAGGCCCCAGACUGGCAGCCACGAGGUCCUUCCCUGUGUCCUUCCGGCCCCCACGGGAGAGGAGCGGCAGGCGCGGAAAGAGAAGUUCGCGGCGGUGUGUGUCUGGGAUGGUUCGGGGACUGAGGAGGGCGAGAGAGGAGGUCUGCCGUCCCCUGUCCCUGCCGGCACUUGGGAUCAGACACGGUUGUGUUCAGAGGCAGAAUGACAGCGCCACAAAGGAGUUUCCGAGAUUCUAAAUCCACGGACGCACCCGCUGGAUGUCCCUCACUCGGCAGGAUGCGAUGCUGACUGUCGUCGAAUAGAGACGAGAGCGUCUCACUCAGGCAGUGCCUCUGUGAUGAAACUCUCAUCGUAUGAGCCCCGCACGCGGCCUUGGGGUGGGGGGCCCUCAGCACGUGGCAUCAGUGGGUACGUGUGACACGUGACCGACCGUGGCCAAGUAGUGCCGGGGACGUCAGCUCUGCAGGGCAAGGGGCAAAGGUGGUUUCCUUUUGGAUUUGUCCUGCUAAGCGAUACGAGAUGAGCGGUUGGUUGUGCACGGAUCGUGACUUACUCCACGCUAAGGAGCCAUUCACAAGAUGCGAGUGUUGCUAUAAUUUGGAGGAGUCGCUGCAGAAGCGAACGUAAUUCCGACUCUGCGUUCCCCGACCCUGGCUAGCUCCAUGACAGUUUUUGUUUCCUAUGAAAGCAGCCUGCUUAUUGGUAAUUCCUUUAAAUAAAGGAAUUAUUUUCCCAAGCAA